AGGUGUUUGGCGGGAUGGACAAGGGAAAGAGGGCCAAAGUGGAGGAGGAGGAGGGCUCCGAACUGGACGCCGAGUUGGUUCAGGCCAUCGAGAAGUUGCAAGAAGUGCAGGACGAGCUUGAACGGGUGGGUGUGGAUGUGUGUGUGUUUUCUUUCUUGCUUGCCUCCUCUGUUGUUGUUGUUGUUGUUGCUGCUGCUCUUGUUUAUUAUUUAUUUUUUAGUGUUUUUUAAUUUUUAAUUUUUUUCCUCACUCCAUUUCGUCCCCCACCACCAAGCAACAUAUCUUUUAUGAGGUCGCUUCGGGGGAUAGGAGUGGAGGAUGGUGGUAGCGGUGGGGAUUGGAGGUGCAUGGCUGCACGAGGUGUUAUUUGUGGCUACCUUCCGGGAUGUCGCUUUUCGGUCAACUUGGGCACGGGGUGGGGUUUGGGGUUUAAGGGUACCGACGGGUUCGAAGUGGUGGAGCGCAACGGCUAGGGUAGGUUUUGGUGUGGGCGACGGAGAGGGAGGUUGGGAUUGUCGUUGUUCGAAAAGUGCGGGUUUGUUCCGGUCGUUACAGGAGUUCGAUGUCGGCGUAGGUUUGGCGGUGAGGUCUAGGCGCAGCUGUGGGUCGGGUGCACGGGGGCGUUGCAAAAGGGAGGUUUUUCGGGGGAAUUUGUGGGCUGCGCACGAAGUUGUGUUGUCGCGACAGCGUAGUGCAGUAUUGGGUGUGUGGUGGGGGUGGAUGGACAAGCGUGCAUGGAGGUGGCGAUGGUGUGGGGCGUGAGAUGGACGCGGAGGAAUGGAAAGCUGGGAUGGCAGGGCGUGUGAUGUAGUCUCCCCCGACCGCAGUGCAGCAGGUAGUGUGUGAGGUAGCUGACGGUGCAGCGAUUGGGGUUGGCAGGUGAACGAGGAGGCGAGCGACAAAGUGCUGGAGGUGGAGCAGUUUUACAACGAAAUCCGACGCCCAGUGUACAGCAAGCGGAAUGCCAUCAUCCACAACAUUCCGGACUUCUGGUUGACUGCCGUACGGUCCCACUUCGCGCGCUUGUCCCCUGUUGUUGAAGGUUUUGGUAGUUCGUGCAGUAUGGACAUAUGCGAAUGGGUUGGUGGAUUGGGCACGGAUGGCAUGGGCGGGGGUAAUGGGGUGGGUAUGAAGGGUUGAUAGUGUUUGUGGCGUGCAGUUUCUGAGCCACCCAGUGCUGUGCGACCUCUUGACGGAGGACGAUCAGAAGGUAAGGCUGGCACGCUCACUCUUGUGUACGCCUUGUUUGUGGGCGCUUUUUCAGUUGGGAGCAUGAGUGUGCAUUGGAUGGGGCUGUGAAUGGAACGGGGCGAGUGUGUGAUUUUGGAAGCAAGGCGAUGGAGUUCCGAGGGCUGAUGGUGGGGUGUGUGCGUGCAUGGCAGGUGUUCAAAUACCUGGAAUCGCUGGACGUGGAGGACUUCAAGGAUGUGAAAUCGGGCUACAGCAUCAGCUUUGUGAGUGUCUUACCGAGAUGACGAGAGCUUGUGCUGAGGACAUGGUGGCGUUGAGAUGGGGGUGUUGGGCAUGGGUAGCUGUCGGUGAAGCGGGCGUCGGGGGGGGGGGACGUUAUUGACUGGAUGUGGAUGGGUGCGGUGCAGAAUUUUCGAACAAAUCCUUACUUCGAGGAUACGAAGUUGACGAAGGAGUUCAGGUUUUCGGAUGACGGUUCGACGUCCGUGUCGGGCACCCAGCCGAAGUGGAAGGAUGGAAUGGUGAGGGUUAGGGGGUGCGAACGAGCGAGUUGUGUGGUGGUGGAGCGGAUGAUGUAGGGCGUGGUAGCAGAAGAGGGAUGGUUGGUGGACGUGAGGCACAGCAUAGGUGGCGGUGAGCGGGUGGGGUGGAAAGAAGUAGGUGUGUGGUUGUGGGUGGUGUGGCGUACUGAAGCGGUGUGUUUGUGGCAGAAUCUGACGAACGGCGUGGUAGCUGAGAAAGAAGGGAACAAGAGGGGUCAUCAAACGGAGGACAGGUAUGAGCUCGAAGCAUUGGGUGUUGUGGGUUGGCGUAUGCCGAUGGGUUGGUAUUGUGGGUGUCGGCGGUCGUGAAAUGUAUGGUGGUCGGCAUGUUCGAGGUUAGGGAAGUGUGAGGUGGAGUGUGUGCGUGAGAAUGAGGUGGCGAGGGAGGGAUUGCAAUUAGUGGUGUUGUUGAGGUGGAGCGCGUUAAUAAGAGGGGAAGCGGGAAUGUUGUGCAGUUUCUUCAAGUGGUUCUCGGACACGCAGCAGAAGAUAUCCAUAGAGGGGAUACAAGACGAGGUGAGCAUUUCUAUGAAGCACGGAGUUUAGUGGGGGCGGAGGAGUUGAUGAUGUGAAGUAGGGUGGUGGGUGGUGACUCAUGUUUGUGUGGCGUUGGAUGUCGGAGUUGUGGAGGAAGCGCGGUGAAGCAGGUUCCCCUGUGAGAAUUUUGUAGCAGGAGGGAGUGGGUUUGGGAGGAGUGGGAGGUGUUGGUUGCGGGGAGUGUAGGGGAUGGGCGAAGGCAGUGGGUGGGUUUCGGGGUGGGGCAUGGGUGACAAAGGUUGAGAAGGUGGUUGCAGUAAGUUGACAUAAAUGUUUGUCAUAUUAGGAUGGUUGGUUGGGGCUGCAGGUUGCAGAGGUCAUCAAGGAUGAUCUGUGGCCAAAUCCGCUGAAGUACUUCAACAAUGUAAGCAUAUAUGUGUUUUGGUAUUUUUCUUGUCUCUUUUGAAGCGCUGUGGUUUCUUGGGCAGUGAUUGCGGUAGUAAGGACGCAAGGGCGUGUGCGUAGAUGGGAAGGUUAGGGGUGGCGGGUGAAGCACUGUGGAGUGUGGCGGUUGUGUUGAAUGCGAGGUUGUAAGGCGCGUGGAGAGCGUGUAGUGGCAUGCAUGCUGAGGCGGUGGGGGCUUGUGCAGGAGCAAGAUGAAGAAGGGUUCGAGAGUGGGGAUCAAGAAAGCGGGGACGAUGACGCGGUAAAGCAACAGCACCAAUGGUGGAGAUGUUUGAGAUAGAGUGAUGUGCUUGUGGGGUGAGGGUCGGGGAUGAGUGUGAUGAUGCGUGAGGAUUGUGGCGGUGGUUGAGGGGAAGCGUGGAUGGUGUGGUUGUGUGGCAGAGUAAGGGCGAUGGCCUGGACGACGAGGAUGACGAGGGCGACGAGGACGACGACGACGAGUAGAUGCGGGGAGGAAGAAGGUGGAGGGAGCAAGUGUAAUGGUAUCUGAUUUUUGUGGAGGGGCAUGGAUGGCAGUAGCUGAUGAGGAAGAGGAUGG
rnacentral:lncRNA from 1 species